CAAAAAGUAGCUUACAACCAAAGCAUUCGGCUUACAACCGAACGACAUUAUAAAAUAAUCUUUUUGA